UUUCUCUUUCUCUAAUCAAGUUUCUUUUACGAUUUCUUCCGACUCUUUCAAGUUGAAAAUUUUGGCUAGAAAUUCUUCGCCUUUCUCUCGGUCGCCGCCUCUAAAGGGCAACUCUUUUGUAGUGUUUCGGUGUCACUCUAUCUUCCCAUCUGUUCUAUAUAUCUCAGAAUUUUCAGGGACCAGGAUUUGGAAUUUUUACUUGUUAUUUAAUUCCAGUGGAUUUCUUAUAUAUAUAAUUUAAGUGAAUUGACAAUAAAGAUAUUAGCUUUAAGAAAAAUAGUUCGCAAAGAAUUGCAAUUUUCUUCUUACUGGACAAUUCCGGUUUAAGAAUUUUUUAGCAAUAUGGUUCAAGAGCUAAACAAUGGAUUUAGGCGGCUGUUUGGGUCGCGGCUUCUCAGUUGCCGACACGAUUUGCGACUCCAUAGGAGGGGGAGGAGCAGGUUUUAUGUUGGAUUGGUAAGAAUUUGAUUGCGCAAUGGGGAAAUAGGCGGAGCUGGACGAGAAAUCCAUACAAAGAUAUGGUGCAUAUUAAAAAUGCAACAGAAUUUUGUAGCAAACAAUGGAAAUGUAUAGUAUGCCUGCAAAGAAGCACUCACGGAAAAAACAAGGGCAAGAGAACUCAAGCUGUGGAAAAUGGAA